UACGUAGGGGGCUAGCGUUGUCCGGAAUCAUUGGGCGUAAAGCGCGCGUAGGCGGCCCGGUAAGUCCGCUGUGAAAGUCAAAGGCUCAACCUUUGAAUGUCAGCGGAUACUGCCAGGCUAGAGUCCGGAAGAGGCGAGUGGAACUCCUGGUGUAGCGGUGGAAUGCGCAGAUAUCAGGAAGAACACCAACGGCGAAGGCAGCUCGCUGGGACGGAACUGACGCUGAGGCGCGAAAGCUAGGGGAGCAAACAGG
rnacentral:rRNA from 1 species